CCUACGGGGGGCAGCAGUGGGGAAUAUUGGACAAUGGGGGGAACCCUGAUCCAGCCAUGCCGCGUGUGUGAAGAAGGCCCUCGGGUUGUAAAGCACUUUCAGUGAGGAAGAACGCCUGGUGGUUAAUACCCAUCAGGAAAGACAUCACUCACAGAAGAAGCACCGGCUAACUCCGUGCCAGCAGCCGCGGUAAUACGGAGGGUGCGAGCGUUAAUCGGAAUUACUGGGCGUAAAGCGCGCGUAGGUGGCUUGAUAAGCCGGUUGUGAAAGCCCCGGGCUCAACCUGGGAAUGGCAUCCGGAACUGUCAAGCUAGAGUGCAGGAGAGGAAGGUAGAAUUCCCGGUGUAGCGGUGAAAUGCGUAGAGAUCGGGAGGAAUACCAGUGGCGAAGGCGGCCUUCUGGACUGACACUGACACUGAGGUGCGAAAGCGUGGGUAGCAAACAGGAUUAGAUACCCUGGUAGUC
rnacentral:rRNA from 1 species